AUAGCGUCUUUUCCCCUUUCGGGGGCCGAUGAAAAUUCAAAUUUAGAAACAUUUUCACUUUUUUUUUAUGGCUGCCGAUGUAAGAUUAAUAAUUGUGUUUAAAUUACUUUGAAGUACUUUUAAAAUUGUUUACACUUUUAUUGCGAAGAGCCAUGUAGGUGACUUUUACUUUGUUGUAAGGCUAAUAUAGAGCCUACAAUAACAUAGUGCGCAAUGUUUAAUUAGGUCUAUAUAUGUAUAUAUAUAGUCUAGUAUAUUAUGUAAAUAGUUUAUUGGUUCAAUAAAACGUCUUUGUUAUGCGCGCGAUAUUAUGACCUAGAGCCCUUAUUUUCAUUUGCAUCACUAAGCGCAGAAUGUAAAGUGCUCGCAAUAUUAUGAAUGGAGUUAUGAAACUGUAUGACAACUCGGCAAAAGUUAUUCGCAUUUAUAGCGAACGAAUGUAUAUAAAAAAAUUGAAAAACAAAAUUUGAAGAUUGAUUUUUAUUAAAUAAUAAAAUUAACAGACAAUAAUUUAUAUAAUCAUGUGUAAAAGUAAAAAAAAAUAAAUAAAAUAAUGUUUGCGAAUUAUGUUGAUAACGUUGCGAGAGUCUCUGCUCUGCGCAUGUGUGAUUUUCGGUCUUGUCUCUGUAAAUAGGGCUAUAUGACCUAGAUCAAUGAAAUUGUAAUACUUUCACAGAGUUAGGCAACUUUUUUUUUUUUUAGGGGGGGGGGGUCCUUCAGUUCGUUUUAGGGCUUUAUAUAUAAAUACUUUACAAGUGUUAAUUUUCCCGUUAGUAUCUAAGGAACAUUUAUGCCAGGUUUUAUUAAGAUUGAUCAAACAGCUUUGAUUUUAUUCGGGGCAUAUGGGCCUACGUACAUACAUGUUGCUUUCCUCUGUAUUAUAUUUUAUAUACUAAAUAAAAAACAUAACUUUUUUCAAUGCUUCUUUUAUUUUGUACAUGGGAUAGACCUAAAAAAGCUUGAUAUUUAUAGGUUUUCCGCCUUGUAUACAAAUCUCUAAUAACCAAAUAUAUGAAGGCGAAAUUUUUCAUUAAUUAUUAAGCCUACUUAUUCCAAAUCCUCUGAUAAACAUACAUUUUUUUACACUUCUGUUCACCGGAAACACCAAACACUGAAACAGGUAACUAUUUAACCUAUCAGAAAACAUUGAGAUGAAAACAAAACAAUACGUCAUUUUAUAAUUUUCUUUUUCCAAAGGGAUUCGACUGCUCCUGAAACAAAGGGGACAUUGGGGCCCUUGAAAGAAAUGUGUUUGCUGUAAGAAUUUUAAACAAAUUCGUAUAUUUAUAUAAUUUAUCCCAUAGGUAUCGUUCACAUUGUAAUGAUUGUUUUCGUUUCAUUGUUCUCUAUUUUUUUACAUAUCGAAACUCGAAACAUGUGACCUAUGAUGGCUAUUUUAUUGUUUUUCUGUUUCAUUUGGGGCUACCAUAGGGCAUUAUGGCUUAAUAUUCACUUUUCAUAGGGCUAGGACCUGGCUCUGCUCUGAUAGUAAAGACUUCCGGAAGAUUUGGGAAACAUGUACAUUUUGGUACAUACCUACAUUUUACAUUAUUCAUAUGAUAAUGAUUUGGUUCAAUCGCUUAUUGAUUCAAUGAAUUCAAUGGACUAUUUCUUCGCUGGUGCAAUGUUGUCAAGACUCAUGACACUCAUGUUAUGAUAUAGAUCUAAGUCUAAUGGAUCUAGAUGUCACUGAUUAAAAUUGUUUUGAUGGCCAAGAGUGUUUAUGUUUGCUAUGUGGAGCCAAUAUGGCUGGAUAUGAGUCAUCAUACAACACACCAUGAGGACUAGAGCAGCUUCACUGGAUUGCUCAUUCUCUCUGUUCCAUGCAUGAACAGUAUUCCAAGGGCAGACUAGUG
rnacentral:sRNA from 1 species